AUUGAACGCUGGCGGCAUGCCUUACACAUGCAAGUCGAACGGCAGCACGGGAGCAAUCCUGGUGGCGAGUGGCGAACGGGUGAGUAAUAUAUCGGAACGUGCCCGGUCGUGGGGAUAACGUAGCGAAAGCUACGCUAAUACCGCAUACGAUCUACGGAUGAAAGCGGGGGGAUCGCAAGACCUCGCGCGAUUGGAGCGGCCGAUAUCAGAUUAGGUAGUUGGUGAGGUAAAGGGCUCACCAAGCCGACGAUCUGUAGCUGGUCUGAGAGGACGACCAGCCACACUGGGACUGAGACACGGCCCAGACUCCUACGGGAGGCAGCAGUGGGAAUUUUGGACAAUGGGCGCAAGCCUGAUCCAGCAAUGCCGCGUGCAGGAUGAAGGCCUUCGGUUGUAAC
rnacentral:rRNA from 1 species